UGGGGAAUUUUGGACAAUGGGCGCAAGCCUGAUCCAGCCAUUCCGCGUGCAGGAUGAAGGCCCUCGGGUUGUAAACUGCUUUUGUACGGAACGAAAAGGCUCUGGUUAAUACCCGGGGCUGAUGACGGUACCGUAAGAAUAAGCACCGGCUAACUACGUGCCAGCAGCCGCGGUAAUACGUAGGGUGCAAGCGUUAAUCGGAAUUACUGGGCGUAAAGCGUGCGCAGGCGGUGAUGUAAGACAGAUGUGAAAUCCCCGGGCUCAACCUGGGAACUGCAUUUGUGACUGCAUUGCUGGAGUGCGGCAGAGGGGGGAUGGAAUUCCGCGUGUAGCAGUGAAAUGCGUAGAUAUGCGGAGGAACACCGAUGGCGAAGGCAAUCCCCUGGGCCUGCACUGACGCUCAUGCACGAAGGCGUGGGGAGCAAACAGGAUUAGAUACCCUGGUAGUCCACGCCCUAAACGAUGUCAACUGGUUGUUGGUCCUUCACUGGAUCAGUAACGAAGCUAACGCGUGAAGUUGACCGCCUGGGGAGUACGGCCGCAAGGUUGAAACUCAAAGGAA
rnacentral:rRNA from 1 species